UUAAAAGCUUUUAGAUAUUCUCUAUAACUCCCUGAAAAAGGAACACCCUAAUCUUUGGGAACAACAGAAUUCUAAGAUCCGGAUUCCUGCUGUGUACGCAGUCAGAGAAGGGAGGAAAACCGUCUUGCUCAAUUUCACAGAUAUCUGUAAAGCAGUUCACAGACCUCCUAAACAUGUAAUGGAAUUCUUAUUCAGCGAAUGUGCGACAAAUGGGUCAGUUGACAUCAGAAACAGAGUUUGUCUGAAAGGAAACUUCAAACCUGCUGGGCUCCAAACAGUCAUUACAAAUUAUGUCAAAGAAUACGUCGUAUGUGCCUCCUGUAAAUCAUUCAAUUCGCUUCUUAUUCGGGAAACACGCCUUCAUUUUGUUCAGUGUGAGGGGUGCGGAUCCAGACGGGUGGUGAAUGCUGUCAAAUCAGGCUUCCGAGCAGUUACCUCUCGAGACAGAGCCCGAUAGAUAUACCGCAAAUAUACAUGAAAUUUAACACUUUGGAUUAAAAAAAAAAGCAAAUCCGGUCAUUUUACAAGAAAGACGUUUCCCAGAUAUUGAGCAACCUGUUAAUAAUAUACAUCUUAACGAAAACAUAUGAGAAAUAUUUUGAGACCUAAUUAAAGGACAUACUCGAUAGAAACUAUCUAAUAAAAAUAUUUUUAACUUUCAUCAGACCACUUCCAGAAUACCGUAAAACUGUUCUCAGAAAAAUGUAGACCUUUUAGAAAAAUCAAGAAGACGAGGAAGAAUUAUUACUUGUUUGACAGUCAACCUUUCUUGAUCCAUUUUGAACAAUGGAUUGGGUUGAGAGCCAUUGUACUAUAGGGAAGAAAAAUCAUACACUUAUCAAAUUAACAAUGUUUUAUGGUA